GACGAACGCUGGCGGCGUGCCUAAUACAUGCAAGUAGAACGCUGAAGCGAGGAGCUUGCUCUUCUUGGAUGAGUUGCGUACGGGUGAGUAACGCGUAGGUAACCUGCCUUGUAGCGGGGGAUAACUAUUGGAAACGAUAGCUAAUACCGCAUAACAAUGGCUUACACAUGUUUUUUAUUUUACAGGGGCAAUUGUUCCACUACAAGAUGGACCUGCGUUGUAUUAGCUAGUAGGUGAGGUAAUGGCCCACCUAGGCGACGAGUCAUAGCCGACCGGAGAGGGGGGUCGGCCACACGGGGACGGGAACACGGCCCAGGCGACUACGGGAGGCAGCAGUAGGGAACCGUCGGCAAUGGGGGCAAACCUGACCGAGCAACGCCGCGUGAGUGAAGGAGGUUUUCGGAGCGUAAAGCUCUGUUGUAAGUCAAGAACGGGUGUGAGAGGGGAAAGUGCACACUGUGACGGUAGCUUACCAGAAAGGGACGGCUAACUACGUG
rnacentral:rRNA from 1 species